AUGUUAUCAAGAAAGGUGGAGAGAUUAGACUCUGUGAAACCUUGGCAACCUCUCGCGUUUCUGAAACGAGAAAAGGUGCUACAUUCUACUCAUUUUUGGGAUAGAUAACAC
rnacentral:ncRNA from 1 species